rnacentral:rRNA from 1 species
CGGACGGGUGAGUAACGCGUGGGUAACCUGCCUCAUACAGGGGGAUAACGAUUGGAAACGAUUGCUAAUACCGCAUAAGCGCACAGUACCACAUGGUACAGUGUGAAAAACUCCGGUGGUAUGAGAUGGACCCGCGUCUGAUUAGCUAGUUGGUGAGGUAACGGCCCACCAAGGCGACGAUCAGUAGCCGGCCUGAGAGGGUGAACGGCCACAUUGGGACUGAGACACGGCCCAA